CCUACGGGCGGCAGCAGUGGGGAAUAUUGCACAAUGGGGGAAACCCUGAUGCAGCGACGCUGCGUGAGUGAAGAAGUAAUUCGUUAUGUAAAGCUCUAUCAGCAGGGAAGAAAAUGACGGUACCUGAGUAAGAAGCCCCGGCUAACUACGUGCCAGCAGCCGCGGUAAUACGUAGGGGGCAAGCGUUAUCCGGAUUUACUGGGUGGAAAGGGAGCGUAGACGGCAGUGCAAGUCUGGAGUGAAAGGCGGGGGCUCAACCCCCGGACUGCUCUGGAAACUGUACGGCUGGAGUGCAGGAGAGGUAAGUGGAAUUCCUAGUGUAGCGGUGAAAUGCGUAGAUAUUAGGAGGAACACCAGUGGCGAAGGCGGCUUACUGGACUGUAACUGACGUUGAGGCUCGAAAGCGUGGGGAGCAAACAGGAUUAGAUACCCCAGUAGUC
rnacentral:rRNA from 1 species